GAUGAACGCUGGCGGCGUGCCUAAUACAUGCAAGUCGAGCGAACCACUUCGGUGGUGAGCGGCGAACGGGUGAGUAACACGUAGGUGAUCUGCCCAUCAGACGGGGACAACGAUUGGAAACGAUCGCUAAUACCGGAUAGGACGAAAGUUUAAAGGUGCUUCUGGCACCGCUGAUGGAUGAGCCUGCGGCGCAUUAGCUAGUUGGUAGGGUAAAGGCCUACCAAGGCGACGAUGCGUAGCCGACCUGAGAGGGUGAACGGCCACACUGGGACUGAGACACGGCCCAGACUCCUACGGGAGGCAGCAGUAGGGAAUCUUCGGCAAUGGGCGAAAGCCUGACCGAGCAACGCCGCGUGAAUGAUGAAGGCCUCGGUUGUAAAGUUACUGUAUUAAGGAAGAACGACUUAGUAGAAGUAGGACGUAGAGUAGUGA
rnacentral:rRNA from 1 species